NNNNNNNNNNNNNNNNNNAGGGCCCGGCCCGGCCCCAGCGCGACGCCGCCGCCGCCGACAGAGGUGAGGGACCGGGGCGGGGGCACCGGGAACCGGUACCGGGAAGCACCGGGAAAGGGUACCGGAGGGUACCGGCAGCACUGGGGUUACGGGGAAGCGCGGGGAACCGGUACUGGGGGCACCGGGAACCGGUACCGGAGGGUACUGGGAGCACCGGGGUUACUGGGCAGCACCGGGAACCCGUACCGGAGGGUACCGGGAGCGCUGGGGGUAACGGGGAGCAGCGGGCGUUACCGGAAAGCACCGGGAACCGGUACUGGGAGCACCGGGGGUUACUGGGCAGCACCGGGAAGUGGUACCGGGGGGUACCGGGAGCACCGGGGGUACGGGGAAGCGCNNNNNNNNNNNNNNNNNNNNNNNNNNNNNNNNNNUACGGGGAAGCACGGGGAACCGGUACUGGGAGCACUGGGCGUUACUGGGCAGCACCGGGAAGGGGUACCGGGGGGUACUGGGAGCACCGGGGGCACCGGGAACUGGUACCAGGAGCACAGGGGGUUACCGGGAAGCACAGGGAAGUGGUACCGGAGGGUACCGGCAGCACUGGGGUUACGGGGAAGCGCGGGGAGCCGGUACUGGGAGCACUGGGAAGUGGUACCGGAGGGUACCGGGAGCACCGGGGGUUACCGGAAAGCACGGGGAACUGGUACCGGAGGGUACCGGGAGCACCGGGGGUUACUGGGCAGCACCGGGAAGUGGUACCGGAGGGUACCGGGAGCACCGGGGUUACGGGGAAGCACGGGGAACCGGUACUGGGAGCACUGGGCAGCACCGGGAAGGGGUACCGGGGGGUACCGGGAGCACCGGGGGCACCGGGAACUGGUACCGGGAGCACCGGGGGUUACUGGGCAGCACCGGGAGCUGGCACUGGGGGUAACGGGGAGCACCGGGCGUUACCGGAAAGCACCGGGAACCGGUACUGGGAGCACUGGGCAGCACCGGGAAGGGGUACCGGGAGCACCGGGGGUUACUGGGAGCACUGGGAAGUGGUACCGGGGGGUACCGGGACCACCGGGGGUUACUGGGAGUACUGGGAAGUGGUACUGGGAGCACUGGGAUUACCGGGAACUGGUACUGGGGGGUACUGGGGGCACUGGGAUUACCGGGACCGGGGGGGGAGUUACCGGAAAGCACCGGGAACCGGUACUGGGAGCACUGGGCAGCACCGGGAACUGGUCCCGGGGGGUACCGGGAGCACCG
rnacentral:lncRNA from 1 species